AACACAGCGUGACAGAAUAGUAUCAUCAACCCAGAACAAAAUGCCUUUCGCUGACAUCUUGACUUCUUUGACCAAACCCUAUGGAGGUCCAUUGUUCAUUCUACAAGAACAAUAAAGACUUGUUGUUUCCCA